rnacentral:rRNA from 1 species
GGAGGGUGCAAGCGUUGUUCGGAAUUACUGGGCGUAAAGCGCGUGUAGGCGGCCUUUUAUGUCAGGUGUGAAAGCCUCCCGCUCAACGGGAGAAGUGCGCCUGAAACUGGAAGGCUUGAGUACGAGAGGGGGAGACGGAAUUCCUAGUGUAGAGGUGAAAUUCGUAGAUAUUAGGAAGAACACCGGUGGCGAAAGCGGUUUCCUGGCUCGUAACUGACGCUAAGACGCGAAAGCGUGGGUAGCAAACAGGAUUAGAUACCCUGGGUAGUCCACGCCGUAAACGAUGGAUACUAGUCGUUGGGAGCAUUUAAAACCUUUCAGUGACGACGCUAACGCAUUAAGUAUCCCGCCUGGGGAGUACGGCCGCAAGGUUA